GAUGAACGCUGGCGGCGUGCCUAACACAUGCAAGUCGAACGGAGUUUAGCGCUGAUGAAGCUUCGGCAGAUUCUUGUUAAACUUAGUGGCGGACGGGUGAGUAACGCGUGGGUAACCUGCCUCAUACAGGGGGAUAGCAGUUGGAAACGACUGAUAACACCGCAUAAGCGCACAGGAUCGCAUGAUCUAGUGUGAAAAUAUUUAUAGGUAUGAGAUGGACCCGCGUCUGAUUAGCUAGUUGGUGAGGUAACGGCCCACCAAGGCGACGAUCAGUAGCCGGCCUGAGAGGGCGGACGGCCACAUUGGGACUGAGACACGGCCCAAACUCCUACGGGAGGCAGCAGUGGGGGAUAUUGCACAAUGGGCGAAAGCCUGAUGCAGCGACGCCGCGUGAGUGAAGAAGUAUUUCGGUAUGUAAAGCUCUAUCAGCAGGGAAGAAAGACCUCGUAAGAGGGGAUGACGUACC
rnacentral:rRNA from 1 species